CCUACGGGAGACUGCAGUGAGGAAUAUUGGUCAAUGGUCGGGAGACUGAACCAGCCAAGCCGCGUGAGGGAUGAAGGUACAGAGUAUCGUAAACCUCUUUUGUCAGGGAACAAAGGCGGGGACGUGUCCCCGGAUGAGUGUACCUGAAGAAAAAGCAUCGGCUAACUCCGUGCCAGCAGCCGCGGUAAUACGGAGGAUGCGAGCGUUAUCCGGAUUGAUUGGGUUUAAAGGGUGCGCAGGCGGUCUGUUAAGUCAGCGGUCAAAGCCCGGGGCCCAACCCCGGCCCGCCGUUGAAACUGGCAGUCUCGAGUUGGAGAGAAGUAUGCGGAAUGCGCGGUGUAGCGGUGAAAUGCAUAGAUAUCGCGCAGAACUCCGAUUGCGAAGGCAGCAUGCCGGCUCCACACUGACGCUGAGGCACGAAAGCGUGGGUAUCGAACAGGAUUAGAUACCCGAGUAGUC
rnacentral:rRNA from 1 species